UUGCCAUGAUGAUAAUAGAAUUUCUUCACCUGAAGUAGACCAUGUAAUGGUCGUAUGAAAUGAAGAAUUUUGACAACCUGAGCAAA